UACAGAGGUGCCAAGCGUUAGGCGGAAUCACUGGGCUUAAAGCGCGUGUAGGCGGGUCGGUAAGGGUCUUGUGAAAUCCCACGGCUCAACCGUGGAACUGCUGGGCAUACUGACGAUCUUGAGGCACUCAGGGGCUGUCGGAACAAAUGGUGGAGCGGUGAAAUGCGUAGAUAUCAUUUGGAACGCCAACGGUGAAAACAGACAGCUGGGGGUGUCCUGACGCUGAGACGCGAAAGCCAGGGGAGCGAACGGG
rnacentral:rRNA from 1 species